rnacentral:misc_RNA from 1 species
UCCUCAACAUAAAAUCUAUUAAUACACAAUCCAAAUAAGAUUAUAAUGCGCUACAUGUCUGUCCAUUCUCCAACUUACAACCAUCAUUAAAACUAUAACUGACUCUGCUACACUUUAACGGAUGGUAUUAUCUUACAAACAGAAUAAAUCGUCUCUUGUUUUCAUUGUUAAGAGAACAACCUAUCUUAGAAAGCCAUGACUUCCCAGUAAGAUAAAAGUUCGUCAAACAAAUUAGCAUCAGCACACAAAAUGGUUGUCAUCCUGCCAUGCCAUAGUCAUCUGCCUGAUCAUAAAGAUUGUAGCUUCCCGGUACUCCCAUCUUUCCAGUUAGGUGGUCGUCUCUUUGAUUUGGUAACACACCCAAGAAAUGCAAUUCAGAGCUUAUCUCAGGGCUCUGGAAGCACAGAUCGUCGGCCCUUGGAGGGUUUUGCUGGGAGUGAAAUAUUUCUGGUUUUGUCUUCUUCUCAUUCGGUGAGUCAACUUCUGUUUCCACUUCUGAUUCAGCAUUGUUAGAUGAGGCAACCAAUUGUUUUCUUUUUGAUCGUGCACGCCUGUUUUGGAACCAAUUAUACACAUUUGUUUCAGAAAUUUGUCCAUGCUGGCUGAGUUCAGAGGUUAUCUCUUUAAUCUUUUGCUUGCUUGGAGUUCCAUUCCCCAUAUCAAAGAUUCGCUCCAGAAUUUGAAGCUGCAAAGGUGUCGGAGUCCACCUCUGUCUUGCAGUAAUUUUGUGUCCACCAGAAGCCAUUAAUGGAUCGCAGUACAGAUUUCCUAGCCUGCCUCCUGCAAGAUCUUGCUGGGCAGAGAGGGUCUUGUGCAUCUCAACAAGCUGCUCACAAAUGGUGGCAUAAACAGCAAUUUGCUUCCUAAGAGUUUCAAGUUGCUCAUCUGUCAUGACCUUGACGUACAGCAUUCCUCCAUUCCCA